CACGUACUUAAAAACGCCGGACGGGUCGAUGUCUGCCUGCGGGAUGUUUACCAUGCGGACAGCCGCUUUCGUUUGGGUGCACAUCUCCACACAACACGACUGGCACGCAAGCAAACAAGACAACAAACUAAUGGCUCGGAGUCCAAUGAACACCAGAACGCUGACCAACAGCAGCACAAAAAGAACUAUGAGGCUUUCCCAUACUCCUGGUGCUAAUGCCUUCCACAUACAAACUUUUUCAGAGGGCAGCAAAUUACUCAGACUCAACAUGUAGCCAAGAGCCCACCCGACUGAGGUGUCACCAGCCUGUCGGAACAAUAAAAAAAAAAAUGACAAUGGAACAUAUCCCUUCAUUUUCUUUCAAAUGAAAGCGUUAAGGAUGCACCCGACUGUUACGAGGAGGACCUUGACAAACACAGAGGAAGCACAAUAGUCCUUCAGUCGUGAUGCUUCAUCUGGAUCAAGAGCCAGCAUCUAAAUGUGAACAGAAAC